rnacentral:lncRNA from 1 species
GGAUGUUUGUGUUUGAGUAUUAUGUCAAUUUAAAUCAAUUGUUUUAAAAACUGAGGAAUGAGAGAACAUGUGAUAGUCUCUCCUGAUUUCACUCUCAGAAGUUCUAGGCAAUAGCACUAAACACAGACAGACUACACUGAUUAAAGUUUAGGAGCAUCCAAGAAAGGAAAAGAGAUUCAUAGCAGAGCUUUGGGAAGUUGUCAAAAUUGUAGAGUCAACAAAUGACAAGAAGUUAAUGAGAAAAAAAAUGUAUAGAUACAGUGUGUCAAACCUUCUUAGCCUUUGACUACUUUCACAAUUUUCUCAUUUGAUAUAAUUGAAAUGUUUAAGUCUUGUUUCUAAAGUGGGAAAAAAUCUAUAUUAAAUCUUACCUACCUCCCAAAUUCUCAUUUUUAGCCCAUUAAAUAUUUUAUGUUUAUUUAGGAGUGUAGCAUGUAUGUUUGUGUGAGUGUGUGUGUGUGUGUGUGUGUGUGUGUGUGUGUGUGUGUGUGUUCCGUGUUUCCUUUAGUUGUCUACAUAAGUUUUCAUCAAUGUCAGUAUUUAUAACUAUGUGAGUCUAUAAGAAAAUGUAUAAUAAUUUAAUUAUUUUCCUGCUGUAUGAUAUUAUUUCCAUUGUUACCUGACUAAAUGCAAUUCAAAAUGUAGAAAGUGCUGAAAUGUUAAGAUAUGCUACCUUUUCUUCGAGGGCUUUGACAUAGUAUCACCAUUAGAUUCAUUUGGAAUACAGGUAGCCUGCACAUAUGCAUUAUAGUACUGUGAACUUCUAUAACUAGUACUCGGAAUGCCUUCUCCCCCGCCCCACCUUCCCACUCCUUGCUAACAAUGAACAGAAACUAUUGUGUGUUGGGGGCUGGAGAGAUGACUCUGGCGCUCAGAGCGCUGGUGGCUCUUCCAGAGGACCCAGGUUUAAUUCUCAGCUCCCACAUGAUGGUUCACAACCAUCUGUCAUUCCAGUACCAGGGAUUCAGGUGCCAUCUCUGGACUCCAGAGUACCAAGCAGGCAGGUAGUGCAUAGACAUAAAUACAAGCAAAAUACCCAUUCAUAUAAAAUUUAAAUAAAUGAAACCUCAGAAAACAUUUUAAUGUUGCUAAUCUGUGAACAUAUAUUUUAUUUUCUGAUCCUUUACAUGGCUAAGUUAGAAUAUGUUCACUCUACAAAAGGAGGGACUUCACUAUUAUGUUUUCAUGUAAAUGAACCACAAGAGUUGUUCAUAUUCACCCCAUUAUCUUUUCCUGUCCUCUCUCUCUCUCUCUCUCUCUCUCUCUCUCUCUCUCUCUCUCUCUCUCUCUCUCUCUCUCUCUCAUGGUUUCCUUCCCACUGAAGAGACUCUGGCCAGAUUGAGCAUGGCAAACAUAGCUCUGUCAGGCGUUGCCCUUCUCGCCCAUUCCCUCUGCAUAAAAACCGUUAGACAUUUGUAAGGCUAGCCACCAAGGUCUAUUCCCUCAUUUGGCCACUCACUCCUCCUGAAACUGACUACUAGAUAUCAACGUAUUGAAGUCCAGCAAUCAAAUGCCCCCUUUGGCUCACCUAAUAAACAUGCCCAAUUAAAAUUAAACACCUCAUAAAACACAGGGCUUCUCCUUGUACAUUUAUAAACUGCCAUUUUUCUAUGAGCUAUGUCUGUCUGACUGUGUGUCUGUCUGUGAGAGAGAGAGACACAGGGAGAUUGUGAUACUUGUGUUUCAGAGUCAGGGGUUUUCUCGGUUUUGUUUUUUAGAAGAGAUUGUUCGGUUUGGAUUGAUUGGUUGUGUUUGUUUAGGAUGAGGUUUCUCCAGUUUUAUACAUUUUCCCUGCAGAUGAUUUAAUAUUGCUUUUCUUUAUGGCUGAGUAAGACUAGAUUGAGCAUCUAUGGCACAUUUUCUUUGUCCAGAGGUCUAUAGGUGGACAUCUACUGACUGGGUAAACUAGCUGUUUGAAUGUUGCUACAUUAAAUAUAGACGUACAAGCAUCUCUAUGGGAGGCUGCCUUAGAUUGCUCUGCAUAAAUCUAAAAGUAGUCCCACUGUGGUACUUGUGUGCUUUCUGGAUGAAGGCCUUCCCAGUUGGUGUGAGAUGGAAUCUCUGUGUAGUUCUCAUUUACAGUUCAUUGAUGUCUAAGGAUGUUGAUGUUUUUCUCCUAUGUGAGAACUCUGUGUUCAGUUCAUUUGCCCAUUUGUUAGUUGGGUGUGGUUUGUUUUCCCUUGGUUUGGUGUGUGUGUUUAAUUUUUUGGAUUCCUGGUUUUGUUUGUUGAGUUAGAGUCUCACUGUAUAACCCUGACUUGCCUGGAAUUCAGAGAGGUUGGCCUCCCUCUCCCUUCCCAUUACUUGGAUUAAACGCUGCUUGAACUACUUUUUUUUUUGAGGUCUUUAUAUAUUCUUAUAUAGAAAUGUCAAAAUGUUAUACAAAAACUUUUUCAGUUCAUGCAAUUUCAUUUCUCAGUUAUUGCAAUUAUUUCCUGGGUGGUUGGAGUCCUUUUCCGAAGGAUUUUCUGGAUGUUUUGAAGUGUUCUUUCUAUAUUUUCCUCUAAACGUUUCAAGUCUUCUAAUAAGGUCCUUGAUCCAUUUUGGAUUAAAUUUUGUGCAAGGCAAGAAAUAGGAAUCUAUUUUUAUUCUUCAGCUGUGGGUUUCCAGUUUCUUAGCACUAUUUGCUGGUAAGAUGUGGUCUCUUAACAAAGCAUACUCUGUGCUCCAGAUAACUGCAGUUGUGUGUAUGAGUCUCUUUCUGGGUCUUCUAUUGAAACCCAUUGCUCUAUAUGCCUGUUUUUGUCCCAGUAUGAGGCUGCUUUUAUUGUUAUGCAUCUAUACUGUGAUUUGAAAUUCUAUGUGAGACAUCUCUAGCUUUGCUAUUUUUAUCCAGAAUAGCCUUAACUAAUUCUGUGUCCAUAAGAUGUUGUGUUAAUGGGAAGGUAAACUGAGAAGUUUCAGGAGGUCCCUGAGACUAACCAAAUUCGCUAAGCCCCUCCUUACUAGAGAAAGCAGUAAAAGCAACAAAGAAGACUUUCAGACAAGUCAAGCUGUAAAGAAAAUUCUCAGACCAGACUAGCUGCCUGGAAGAAGUAGAAACCAUUUAAGCAGCCAAGAAGAGAUUUAGACCAACUCAGGCAUCUGGAAAGAAACUGUCCAACCUGCUGUCACUAAUGUUGGUAUGGACUUUGGUAAUGCAGCUAGCUGUCUUUGAGUUAUUUCUGUUCCUAUAAGUAACUCCUCAACCAUACUCUUGUAAGUAAUUCCAAUAAAACUCUGGUUCA